rnacentral:misc_RNA from 1 species
AUCAAAGUUGUCCUCAUAUCUAAGAACCUGACCUGGGAACUCUCUCUCCCUGCUUGGGUUCCAUUUUGAUGGAAUUGACAAUUUGAAUCCAUCUCCAUUGUAUGGCAAGAAGUCUGUGUUUGUUUUAGGCUUGCCAAAGACAUUGGCAGCUUCACCAUAGGCAGCAUCUGCAGGAGCAACCUUGGAGCCAAUGGCUGCAGCACCAAUGAGUACUGUGAGAGCCAAUCUUCUGGAGACAAGGGCAACAUCCUCCUCCUGUGGAGGCUGCUUGUGGGUAGAACGACAGAUGAACUGGUUGGUAGGCUUGGUGUUGCUAGACACUUGACGCUGCUGGGACAAUGAAGACAAUCUAUUAGGAGUAGCGAGUGCAUGGUGGUGCAAGAAGCAGGAAGUGGAGGCCAUUUUUGAUCCCUUGAGUUGCAGAUAUGCCUGCAGGAGUAGGAUGAAACUAACCCAAAGAACAAUGGAAGAGGAAAUUGAGCAGCAAAUCGCUUAGGGUGAUUUGUCUUUGGGGUAUGUGAAGGGAAAUGGCUGAUUUUUGGAUAUUGGAUGAUGAGAUGGAUCAGAUUUUUGGAUGUGGGAUAAGGUUGUAGAGGCUCUGAGUGGUGCCACGUGGCACUAACAUUCCAUUUCUGCUUUUUGCAACAUCCAGUUACCCUUUUGGUUUCAAUAAAGGUCAUCAAGAGAGAACCU